ensembl:lncRNA
CAUGAAGAAAACAUCUCUCAGCAUCAGCCAAAUUAGCAAAUGCAGGCUUUGAAAUGAAGGAAAGGUGAUCUCUCAGAGUAGUUUAUUCCAUCAACAAUUUGCAGCAUUCUCAGGACAUCUUUCAGUAGGAAAGGAUUAACUACUCUGACAACAAACAAACAAGAAGUCAGAGGACUAAUUUGAAGUUUGGGGCAACAUAGAAAUCAGGAAUGCUAUUGAUUGGAUGAAGGAAGAAUCCAGUGGAAGAAGAUGAGGAAGAAAUGGAAGAAGAAGGAUGAGGAAGAAAUGAAUUAUUAUUUUUUUUGUUCAUAAAAGAAACAUGACCUAGGGAAGUUUGCUCAAGGUAGACUUCUUAAACUGGGUACAAAACUGCUUCCCUGCAGACAUUAGUCUUACUGCCAAGCUUUGGAAGGAACCAACAGGAAUCAUCAAUUUCAGCUCACCUCAAACCCCGUGUUUCAGAGUGUGGUCCAAAUGCUUCUUGAACUCUGGCAGCUUGGGACCACGAUUGCUGCCCUGAAGAGCCUGUUCCAGUGCCUAACCACCUUCUUCCUGGUAUAACAUAAACACAAACAUCUAUAUCUAUAUCUAUAUCUAUCUAUCUAUCUAUAUGUAUGUUCAAAAAU